CAGGCGGCUGUGCUUGUCUGUGAUAACUUCAUGCCGAUCGCAGGUCCCCAUGACGGCAACGACACAUUCGGAUGUCUGCCCUAACAACUUUCCAUGCAAUUUUCCGCGCCUACCAUGGUGACCAUGGGUAACGGGGAAUCAGGGUUCAAUUCCAGCGAAGGAGCCUGAGAAACGGCUACCACAUGCAAGGAAGACAGCAGGCGCGCAAAUUACCCACUCCCGACACGGGGACGUAGUGA